rnacentral:rRNA from 1 species
UGCAUCAAGACCCGACGCAAGGACGGUCGCAUUUAUUAGAACAAAACCAUCCGGUCUCCGGACCGUACUUUGGUGACUCUGAAUAACUGAGCAAAUCACAUGGUCUCGCACCGGUGAUGUAUCUUUCAAGUGUCAGCCUUAUCAACUUUCGAUGGUAGUUUAUGUGCCUACCAUGGUUGUAACGGGUAACGGAGAAUCAGGGUUUGACUCCGGAGAGGGAGCCUGAGAAACGGCUACCACUUCUAAGGAAGGCAGCAGGCGCGCAAAUUACCCAUUCUCGGUACGAGGAGGUAGUGACGAAAAAUACCAAGCCGAGGCUCAUUGAGUUUCGGCAUUGGAAUGAGAACAAUCCAAAUCUUUUAACGAGGAUCUAGUGGAGGGCAAGUCUGGUGUCAGCAGCCGCGGUAAUUCCAGCUCCGCAAGUGUAUAUCUAUUUUGCUGAGUUUAAAAAGCUCGUGGUUGGAUCUGCGUGUUCAGCAUCUGGUGCGGUCUCUGGCCGCUACUGGAAUGCGACACAUCGAAUGCCGGUUUGCCGUUGAUGCUCUUCAUCGGGUGUCAGCGGUGGCUGGUGAGUUUACUUUGAACAAAUUAGAGUGCUCAACGCAGGCGUUUCGCUUGUAUAUUUCUGCAUGGAAUAAUAGAAUAGGACCUCGGUUCUAUUUUGUUGGUUUUCGGAAGUGAGGUAAUGGUUAAGAGGGACUGACGGGGGCAUUCGUACUGCGACGUGAGAGGUGAAAUUCUUGGAUCGUCUCAAGACGCACUACUGCGAAGGCAUUUGCCAAGAAUGUUUUCAUUAAUCAAGAACGAAAGUAACGGGUUCGAAGGCGAUCAGAUACCGCCCUAGUCGUUACCGUAAACAAUAUUGACUGGGAGCAUGUCGGAGUUUCCAAGAACCCGAUAUGAACCCAACGGGAAACCUCAAGUUCAAUUACUGGGGGAGUACGAUUGCAAAUUCGAAACUUAAAGGAAUUGACGGAAGGGCACCACCAGGGGUGGAGCCUGCGGCUUAAUUUGACCCAACACGGGGAAACUCACCCGGCCCGGACACCGGAAGGAUUGACAGAUUGAGAGCUCUUUCUUGAUUCGGUGGGUGGUGGUGCAUGGCCGUUCUUAGUUGGUGGAGUGAUUUGUCUGGUUAAUUCCGAUAACGAACGAGACUCUGGCCUACUAAAUAGUCGUCGGAUCGCUUCAGUCCGACUGACUUCUUAGAGGGACAAGCAGUGCUUAGCUGCAUGAAAAAGAGCAAUAACAGGUCUGUGAUGCCCUUAGAUGUCCG